AGUUUGCGGAAAGGAUUAAUGGAUCUGAACAUGUCAAAUUAUUGUGAUAUUGGUAAUGUUCUCAUUUGUCUUUAUAUAUCAUCCAUUUUUUAUGGGCCUUUUCACACCUUCAUUGUGCACAACAAUAUUGUUAAGAUUAUUCCCCAUACUCAAAGAUGAUAUUUGAUAAUGUAUGCUUAAAACUCCGAAAGGGGGGAACUUCAGUUGGUAUGGUACAGGCUUUU
rnacentral:misc_RNA from 1 species